GUGCUUUCUCUGGAAGCACAUAUAUUAAAAUUAGAACAAUACAGAAAAGUUAGAAUGGCCCCUAUAAAAGGACGUCAUGCAAAUUCAUGGGCCAUUCCCUGUUUUA